AUGACGAUGGCAAAAGAUGCAGGGGACGAUUGGAUUCGGUUUCCGGCGAGGUUGUCAGCGAGGGCUGAAGGUAGAGCUUGGGCGCAUAUUAGAUCUGGACGGAGGUGCAGUGGUGGUUCACGAAAGAAGUUGGAGAAGCGAACACCGAUGGUUGAAGGCGACGACGUGGGUCCGCGCGGCUUCAAGGAGAGUUGCUGGAAGGAGUGA